rnacentral:misc_RNA from 1 species
GGACGGCCGUGACGUGGACAUGAAUCUGACAUUCUUAAUUCAAACUAAACGCGCAAAACCCAACACGUUAACCAUGGAACUCGUUCUUUGUCUCCUCAGUUUCUGCUUAAACCUAAUCUGUUGAGUUAUCUCCUCGAUUUUUAAUCGUUCAUAAACGUUCCAAGCAUUUUUUCCAUAUCCAUGUAGCGUUACACUGCUUUAUGCUUUCAUCUUAAAUAUAUUGGGAAACAAAAAUAUAACAAUUCUGCCAAAUCAAACAACCAAGUCAUUGUCUUUCAUCGGCUCACCAUCCUAUUGCAUCUUGCGAUUACUCUAUGUUAGCCAGUGCUCUUCUUGUGAUU